GGCCCAGUAGCGAAUGGUCCGCGCCUGCUGCUCAUGAUGAUCAACCAGUUCAAAACGCAGGAAUCACUCGUUCGACUUGAGCCUGGGCCU